GGACCUUUAGCUCAGUUGGUUAGAGCCCCCGGCUCAUAACCGGAUGGUCGUUGGUUCGAGUCCAACAAGGUCCACCA
rnacentral:tRNA from 1 species